AAUUAAUUAUAAAUCUUAAUUAUAAAUUUUAAUUUAAUAUUUCAAAUAAAUAAAUUUUUUUAUAUUUUUAUACCUUUUGUAUAAGGAAAAAUUUAUUAAUAAAUAAAAUUUAUUAAAAUUUCUCGAAAAUUAUUAAAAUAAAAAUUUUAUAAAAAAUGUAGAAAUAAUAAUUUUUAUUUAUGUUAUAUAAAUGAAAUAAUAUAACUAGUUAUUUUAAACAAAAAUUUAGAAAAGCUAAAUAAUUUAAACUUUUAAUUUUGAAUAUUUAAAGAAAAUUCAAAUUAUUAUUUUAUUAUAAAAUAAAAUUUAUUUAAUUAAGUUUACAUUAAAAAUAAAAAAUUUAUUUUUUUAUAAAAUAAUUUUAUUAGUAGAAAAAAAAAUGAAAAAAAAAAUUAUUUAAUAUAGAAAAUUAAAAUAAAAAAAAUAAUAUUUUUUUAAAUUAAGUUUUUUAAUUUUUAACAAAAUAUCAUUAAUAAAAAUUUAUUGUAAAUUCUGCUCAAUGAUUAUAAUAAAUAGCCGAUUUAUCGCUAAGGUAGCAUAAUCACUUGUUUCUUAAUUAGAAACUUGAAUGAAAGGAUAAAAAAAAACUUUAAUAAAAUAUCCCAUUUUAAUAUAAAAGUUUUAUUAUUAAUGAAAAUAUUAAUAUAUUUUUUUAGACGGAAAGACCCUAAGAAUCUUUCUUUAUAAAAAAGUUUUUUGGGAGAAAAUUUAAUUUUAAUGUUUAAAUAUUUUCUUGUAAAGAACUUUUUUAAGAAUAAAUAAAAAGAUACUCUAGGGUUAACAGGAUAAAAAUUAAUUAAAGAACAAAUUUAUUAAAUUAUUAUUACCUCGAUGUUGGUUUUAUAAAACUAAAAAUUGCAAUAAAUUUUUUUAGUUAGUCUGUUCGACUAUAAAAAUAUAACUUGAACUGAGUUCAAAUCGGUGAAAGCCAGAUUGGAUCUUAUCUAAAAAAAAUUAUUUUAAGAAUAGUACGAAAGGAAAAUCUUAAAUAUAAAAUAU
rnacentral:rRNA from 1 species